UGGGGAAUAUUGGACAAUGGGCGAAAGCCUGAUCCAGCCAUGCCGCGGGUGUGAAGAAGGUCUUCGGAUUGUAAAGCACUUUAAGUUGGGAGGAAGGGCAGUAAGCGAAUACCUUGCUGUUUUGACGUUACCGACAGAAUAAGCACCGGCUAACUCUGUGCCAGCAGCCGCGGUAAUACAGAGGGUGCAAGCGUUAAUCGGAAUUACUGGGCGUAAAGCGCGCGUAGGUGGUUCGUUAAGUUGAAUGUGAAAGCCCCGGGCUCAACCUGGGAACUGCAUCCAAAACUGGCGAGCUAGAGUAGGGCAGAGGGUGGUGGAAUUUCCUGUGUAGCGGUGAAAUGCGUAUAUAUAGGAAGGAACACCAGUGGCGAAGGCGACCACCUGGGCUCAUACUGACACUGAGGUGCGAAAGCGUGGGGAGCAAACAGG
rnacentral:rRNA from 1 species